rnacentral:rRNA from 1 species
UACAUGUGGGGCAAGCGUUGUUCGGAAUUACUGGGCGUAAAGCGCACGUAGGCGGCUUUGUUAGUCAGGGGUGAAAUCCCACGGCUCAACCGUGGAAGUGCCUUUGAUACUGCGGGUCUCGAGGGAGGUAGGGGCGUGCGGAACUUCCGGUGGAGCGGUGAAAUGCGUAGAUAUCGGAAGGAACACCGGUGGCGAAGGCGGCUUCCUGGACCGACACUGACGCUGAGGCGCGAAAGCUAGGGGAGCAAACGGG